AAAAACUUCAUGUGAUCUACUACACGACCAGAACGAUGGUUGAUGCACAAGUAAGGUAUGCCACUACUGAGAAGGAAAUUGUGGCUGUGGUAUUCGCAUUCGAGAAAUUUAGGAGCUACCUGGUAGGUUCUAAGGUGACAAUCUACACUGAUCAUGCCGCUCUAAGGCAUAUUUAUGCGAAGAAGGAUACCAAGCCUAGGCUGUUGAGAUGGAUCUUAUUGCUCCACGAGUUUGACAUGGAGAUAGUUGAUAAGAAGGGAAUUGAAAAUGGGGUAGCUAACAAUCUAUCUAGAAUGAGAAUCGAAGACGAGGUCCCUAUUGACGACUCUAUGCUAGAAGAACAGCUAAUGGCAAUUAAGCAGCUGAACGAGAGCGCUCAAAUUCUAAAAUCACUCAAUCUGGCAUGUGCAAUAGGAGAUAAGCUUUCUUGGUAUGCUGAUCACGUCAACUACUUGGUGAGUGGUGAAGAGCCUCCAAAUCUGUCAAGCUAUGAGAAAAAAGUUCUUCAAAGACAUACACCAUUUCUACUAGGAUGAGCCUUAUCUCUACACACUUAGCAAAGAUAAGAUCUACACGCAAAGCGUAUCAUAAUGUCAAACUGAAGGCAUCCUGCCGCAUUGCCAUGGCUCUACCUAUGGUGGCAACUUCGCAACAUUUAAGACUGUAACGCCCGUGAACCGGAAAAUCGGUUAGGAUUUGUUUUUAAAUCGCUCAGUUUACUCGGUUGGGUUAAUAGAAACCCUAGAGUGUGCUUAUAAAAAAGGAAACUCAAAAUUAGGGCUUUAGUUAGCCACUUUUUGUUUUAUAAAGGAGAAAAAGAGAGAGAAGGAGAAAGAGCAGAAUCGUUAGGGUUUGGGAGGAAACAGUUUCAACAUAUCAAAUCGUUGUCAAAGGUAAAUAAAUUUGAUAGAGUUGUUCUCACGUCUUUUAUCGUCAUUCUCCAGUUUACAGAAGUGGAUUUGUAUUUAAAUUUGUUUAGUUAUUUGCAGUUUCGUGAGACACGUUUUCUCAGACGCGAAUUAGGACCAGCGGGGAUUGCAACUGAGAUCGUGGUCUCAUCUGGUUUCCGAUCGGCACGAUAUUUUAUGGGCAGCUCUGUGACGUCUACGGCUAGCGUUUCACCGGAGGGAUUUAAUAGGGUUUCGUCUUUGAGGCUGUUGGUUUGUAUUUUAGGGUUUCGUCUUUGAGGCUGUUUGUUUCUGUUUUUCAUCUCCAGUUUGCUUCAAGAUUGCUUUUGGUUGUGACUUGUUGUAAGAUGUUUCUGGACUGUUUCAGACGCAAGGAGAGUCUCUCCUGGGUUUAAUUGAUGUUAUGAGAGCUCUAAAAUCUAGAAGGAGAGAACUAAGCUUUUCCAUGACAAAAGAUCAUCACCAAGGAUUUCCAAGUUGGUGAUCAGGUGCUGCUAUUCAACUCUCGCUUGAAACUCUUUCCAAGAAAGCUUAAAUCCAGAUGGUCUGGCCCCUUCUGUAUCACUGAGGUCCGUCCUUAUGGAGCAGUUACUCUAGCUGGUAAGAGUGGAGAUUUCACAGUAAAUGGUCAAAGGCUCAAGAAAUACUUAGCGGAUCAAAUCCUUCCAGAGGUGACAUUGGUUCAUCUCCAAGAACUUCUUGAUGAUUAAAGGAGUAAAGGAGUCAAGCUAAUGACUUUAAACAAGCUCACUUGGGAGGAAGUCCCAUGACUAUCUCUGUAAAUAAAUUUUUCUUUUCUUGUUAUUUUUAAUUUGUCUUAGUUGUGUUUGUGGUUCUCAGGGACAAAGGAACAACGUGGAGAUAGAGUAAAAAUCCAAAACUUUUACUCUACAGAAGGCCAUGUAUCGCUAUCUCUCACCAAGAUUCACUCGACCCAUCUGUUUACUCGACCUCCAAAAAGCACUCGACCUCCGCACCGCCGACACCGAGUUCAUUUCCUCCGUCACUCGACCUUUUCACUUCGCCGUUCGCCAUCACUUUGUUCUCGCAACACUCGACCAUCUCUGCGCCGCCGCAAUCGAGUACUCUGCCUCGUUCACCGUCGAAGUCUCAUGGACAACUCGAUUACAACCACAGAACUCGACCACAAGCUUUCACUCGACCUCUACAACAAACCAUUUGACCUCUUGUUCUUGCAACCAACAGAGCCAUCCAACUUCAGAGAGUUUACUCGACCAACGGUUCUACUCUAAUAGAUCCAAUUCGAGUUAGUGUAACUCGAGAACAGCUUAGGUUACUCGAGUAUCAGAUUGUACUCGACCAAUUGGGUCUAUUUCAUUGCUUGUUGAUAACAAUUUUGGUUUCAUUGUUAUCUUUGAGACUAACCUAUUGACAUUUGAGCUUUGAGAUCUAGAUUUCUGGAGGAGAAUCAUGAGUAAUUACAGUGGCAGUUCUUCUGUUGAUCCUGACUACAACAUGGAUGAGACAGAGUCGUCGUCUUCAAGGCCAGAAAGAGAACAGAGAGAAUAUUCAGAAGAAAAGCUGAGAUAGCCCGUGGGAAGAGAGCAAUGACAGAGAGGUAUGAGCUUAUAGAUGAGGAUCAGGAAGACGAGUACAUGCCUGAGCAUACUCGUAGAGCUACCAAACUUCUGCACAAACCUGAUGUAUUGCCUGCUGAGGAAUAUAUUAGGCUCUUCAAAUUGAAUGAGUUUUGUAGCACAAGGUAUCCAUGCUCGACCACGCUUGCACAAUUUGGAUUGUUGGAGGAUGUUCAGCACCUGUACCAGAGUUGUCAUCUGGACACUCUGAUGGCUUAUUCGUAUGUAGCAUAUGAAGAAUAGACAAUUCAAUUCCUCUCCACGCUGCAAGUGGAGCUCUACCAAGGUAUGACCUCUGAUGAAUUGGAUCGUGAAGGAUUGGGAUUCUUGAGAUUCUCUGUGUAUGGUCAUGAGUAUAGGUUAUCAAUCAAGCGCUUGGAAGGAUUGUUUGGUUUCCCCAGUGGGACGGGAACUAAGCCCAAGUAUGACAGAGAAGAGUUGAAAGACUUGUGGAUCACCAUUGGCACCUCUGUACCGCUGAAUUCUUCCAGGUCAAAGAGCAAUCAGAUACGUAGCCCUGUCAUCAGGUAUUUCCAGCGUUCUAUAACCAAUGUACUCUACUCCCGAGAGAUCAUAGGGACUGUUACUAAUUCUGAUAUGGAGAUGAUCGCUAUGGCUCUCAAGGGCACUCUCCGCCAAACUAAGAACAACAUGUCUGUCCAAGGUUAAAUCAAUGACACACCUCUCUCUGUACUUCUUUUGAUCCAUCUGAGUGGAUACAAGAGCUGGGCUGUCAGCAAUAACCACAAGAGAGCUGUUCCUCCUCCACUACAACUAUUCCACAGGGACAACCUCCUCUAGAGAUGCCAUCGAGGAGAUUUGAUGAGCCUGAGCACAUGCCUGAGCUUAGUGAGCAGAGAGUCUCACAUGUCCCGGCUAGGCAUUCGUCAUUCGAGUCCCAGGAGCACAAGAGAAGGAGGAAGGCUACACUCACUCGAUCUAGCAGCAGAUCACGCAUAAUUCACUCGAGGAGAUCACUCGACCGCGGUGCUGGCCGCAGUAGAAGAAGAGAGGUCGAGUAUCCUCAGAGCGGUGUUGGCCGCCACAGAGCUGAUGAGGUCGAGUACCCACCUGCUGGAGCUGAUACGGAACAGGGCGGUUCGUCUAUGGCCUGGGAGCAAUCACAGGCAGCCAUUGACGACCAACUUCGUUCAUUCUUCGACUGAGGUAAGCGCCUCACUUCACCAUUGUAUUAUAUCAUCUGUUGUGAUUUGUUCUUUCUUUUGUUUCUGUGAAUGGAUUUGUCCUGAGUACUCUCUUCCAAGUUUAUCACACAAUGUACUGUGUGAUUUAAGUUUGGGGGAGGGCUCAGGAAGUGUGUGUUGCAUUGUGUAUAUUUUUGAGUCUGCAUUCAUCUAAGGCAUAGAAAAACCAAAACAAUUGGAAAAUUUUCAUAAAAUGAUUU
rnacentral:sRNA from 1 species